ACUUAGCGAGACCCUGUCUCCAAAAAAGAACCAAAAAGAGCCAGUGUGUACUGCAAAAAUGAAAAACCACUGGUGACAAUGAAGUAAUAACUGCCAGUUUAUUUCUGGCAUUACUUUACCAACUUUGUUGGUCCAGUCUUCCAAGAAGCCAAGGCCAGGAGGAGAGGAAAUGGGCUGGAAGACACAUGAGCUUGCUAGGUGAGAACACGUGAGGAGGCUCAGUGAGACAGAAGAGCCUCAUAUUACAAGGCUCACCUGCCCCGUGACAGGAAGGAGAGGAACAACAGCUGGAGCGCAGCUUCCUGGACCACUGUCCCUCUGAGCGAAGUCAGGCUGAGCUGCUGGGAGGCUCCGAGUCUCCCAAGAACAGCAUGCCUCAGCACUGGCCUGUGCUCGGCCACUGGUGGGGGUGGGUCUUGGUGAGCAAGGUCUGGCCAAAUGCAUGGCAGGUUUCAACAGCUGGCUACAGCUGGGGAGCUGGGGCUCCCUGCAGUGGCAGAUCCAGUUAUCAUAUCUCAAAUUUUAACUUCUGAGUACCCUUUUCCCCAAAAAAGCAGACAGGAAUACUCAACUCCAGGUUCAGGAACUAACUGGUAAGAACACUUCUGUAAGUCUCUCCUUUAUUUUUAUUAUUACUACUAUACUACAAAUACUCUAAUAAGAUAUCAAAGUUAGUUUCUCCUUUUUUAGAUGAAUAAUUUCAUGGUAUAGUUUUUAGAGGGGAAUGAAUUUAUUAUAUUUAUUCAUAGUGGCAAGAAAGUAACUUUUUCUAGAGACAGGUUCUUACUAUUUUGCCCAGGCUGGCCUUGAACUUGUGAAAUGCCUGCCUCGGCCUUCCUGAGACUACAGCUGUGAGCUGCUGCGUCUCCCAUAUAAAGUGGCUUUUUAAGGAAAGCUUUUUCUUCCCCCAUGUUAACACACCCAUAAGGAAAUUGUGUGUGUGCGUGGGUGGGUGCGUGAGACGGGGUUAAAGUCAGGGCCUUCACAGAGCUGUAUCUCCAUCUAGUUUUUAUUCUUUGAGACAAGGUCCCGCUAGGUGCCCACACUGGGCUCAAACCCUUGAACCUCCUGCCUCAGCCUCCAGAGUGCUGGGAUCACAGGCCUGCACCACCACCCCUGGCCAGGAAAUUCGACGUGUAACAGACUGCACUGGGGUUAGCGGAACAGCUCACUGGCAGAAGCCUCACUUGCCAUGUGCGAAGUCCUGGGUCCUAUCCCCAGCAACGCAGAAACAAACUCGAACCCAUAUGGUGCUGCAAUUAUUGAGCGUCCCCCACACAUUUUACCUAAGUUAGGUAUUCCAAGGUACAGACAGGAGUAAGAUCCAGCCCUAUACGAACUGGAGAUCAGUCACCUACUCUAAGCCAGACCUGCAUGUGUUUACUGAGCAAGCAACUCAUGGCAGCCAAUGGGCUGGCACUAAUAAGGAGGGUUAAAUCCUAACCUAGCAACGCUGCUCCAGUUAGCUGACACUAAACAUGGCUUGCUCGCUUGUUUAUUCAUCUAUUUAUUUAUUAGUUUUUUGAGACAGGCUUCCCCUUCUGCUCUUGCUGCUUUUGCUGUCUUGUGCCGCUGUGAAAUGUUGCCGUGCCAUGCCAGUCUGCCUCGGAGCCAGCCAAUUAAGGACUGAAACCUCCACACACUGGCAGAGCAGACCAUGGGGAAGGUACAGAAGCCAAGUACAGAAGCCAAGGCACCGAUUCACAGGCUUGAUUCACAGGCUUCAACAGCCCGAGAGGAGGGACCGGUUACUCACAGGACGGUGCUCCUAAGGGAAGACUCCAGCCCCAAACUGACAUUUGGAGACUUGAGCCGAUAAUAAAACGCUAGACAGUAA